rnacentral:rRNA from 1 species
CAGUCGAGCGAAGCGAUAAGGUGAAAUUUUUCGGAAUGAAGCCAUAUUGACUUAUCGGCGGACGGGUGAGUAACGCGUGGGUAACCUGCCUCAUACAGGGGGAUAACAGUUAGAAAUGACUGCUAAUACCGCAUAAGCGCACGGGACUGCAUGGUCCAGUGUGAAAAACCGAGGUGGUAUGAGAUGGACCCGCGUCUGAUUAGCUGGUUGGCGGGGUAACGGCCCACCAAGGCGACGAUCAGUAGCCGACCUGAGAGGGUGGCCGGCCACAUUGGGACUGAGACACGGCCCAAACUCCUACGGGAGGCAGCAGUGGGGAAUAUUGCACAAUGGGGGAAACCCUGAUGCAGCAACGCCGCGUGAGUGAAGAAGUAUUUCGGUAUGUAAAGCUCUAUCAGCAGGGAAGAGAAUGACGGUACCUGACUAAGAAGCCCCGGCUAACUACGUGCCAGCAGCCGCGGUAAUACGUAGGGGGCGAGCGUUAUCCGGAUUUACUGGGUGUAAAGGGAGCGUAGACGGUUCUGCAAGUCUGAAGUGAAAGCCCGUGGCUUAACCGCGGAACGGCUUUGGAAACUGUGGAACUGGAGUGCUGGAGAGGCAAGCGGAAUUCCUAGUGUAGCGGUGAAAUGCGUAGAUAUUAGGAGGAACACCAGUGGCGAAGGCGGCUUGCUGGACAGUAACUGACGUUGAGGCUCGAAAGCGUGGGGAGCAAACAGGAUUAGAUACCCUGGUAGUCCACGCGGUAAACGAUGAAUGCUAGGUGUCGGGGAGCAAAGCUCUUCGGUGCCGCCGCAAACGCAGUAAGCAUUCCACCUGGGGAGUACGUUCGCAAGAAUGAAAC